UCAAAACCCAAUUCCUUUUUGUUUCUCUUUUGCUCCUAUUUCAGUUUCUUGGCCUUUCUGCUUGCUUUAUGGCUCACAAGAUCAUCAAUUAUUGCUGUUUUUUCUAUUCAUUAAUCUUGUUUUUAAGUGAUCACUAUGCAGCAAUGUAGGGCACCAUCUUUUCUUGAAUUGUGAGAUUAUUUAGCUGGAUGGCUAAAAUUUGCUCUUUUGCAGCAUCAUAUUCAUCUGAAAGUCAACGAGGCAUUGCUCUAGCGGCAAAGCGAAGGGACUCAAAGACCUUUCUUUGUGAAAGAUUUUGGGUUAAAUUCCGCCUGCGUGCGGUGAUGUUUUUUCACUUUAUAUGGUGAUGUAUUAUUAUUGUAUUAUAUUGUUUGGUGUUGAAGUCCCACACGUUUUGAGUUUAAUCAGGCCUGCGUGUUUCCACUUUACGUGGUGAUGUCUUGUUGUUGUAUUAUAUUAUUUGGUGUUGAGGUCCCACACGUUUUGGGUUCAAUCCCGCCUGCGUCCGAUGAUGUUUUUCCAUUUUAUGUGGUGAUUUAUUGUUGUUGUAUUAUAUUGUUCGGUGUUGAGAUCCCAUACGCAAAGCGUUUCUCACCUGCAUGCGGUGAUAUUUUUCCAUUUUAUGUGGUGAUGUAUUGUUGUUGAUGUGAUGUUUUUCCACUGUUGAGUGGUGUUGAGGUCCCGCCUGCGUGCCGAUUGCAUAAUUAAUUGUAUUCAAAUACCUCUUGUAACUUCAAAAAAAAAAAGUUAAGAUCUAAUAGAAUUCUCGAUUCAUCUUGGCAAA